rnacentral:lncRNA from 1 species
AAGUUACGCCUGCGUAUUGCAGGGAAGGACCGUAAAAGGCUGUGGUGCUGAUCAACGAAGGAUUUCUCGGAGAAAAUUCCUCCUUUGCGGAAAUGUCCGUAGAAACGCACCUUUUUUUUUUCCUGCCAGGACAAACCGCCGGCGAUAUCCGUUCAUGUGAAAGUGUUUACUAACAUUCUCUGAAGACUCACUGGGUUCUCAGCUCGAGAACGUUCCUGUCACAAGACGUUUAGGAGGCAGGAUGCCGGUACAAUGUAUUUAUGUUCUUGUAAACUGUUGCAUUAACAGUGCACUUCAAGUGGGCACAUUUGUCGUUGGAUUUUUUACCAACUCGAGCUUGGACUUUAGGACGGGGAAAAGAAGUGCUAAAUGUUUUUGAAUAAAACCUUUACUGCACAUGAUAAACAUCCCUUAAAAAUUACCUAGGAGCACCCUAAAUUUUAAAAUGAUCACAAAGACCUGGACAGAUUACAGUAAACCUUCAACAUCGCUAAACACACGUACCAUAAAUCAAAAGAAACACACUGCUAAUGAUCCGUUUUUUGAUGUGGAAAUAUCAUGCUGUUUUUAAGGGAAAUUAUACUUUAUUGCGAUGUUUUAUUUCAAAACAAGAUGUUACACUUUAUUUCCUAUAAUUUUAUUUACAAUAUUUUACACCCGUUAAGCAAAAAUCCCCCUACAUUGCUAUUCUGUUUUUUUUUAAUCAGUUCACUACUGUAGUAUCUUUUUGUUCUCCAUAUAUUUUUGAAAAAUACGCAAAAGGAAGUCUGUCCCAGGAAGUUUUCAAACCUCUCUUGGCCAGAGAACAUCAGUGGGAGUGAUUGGAGGCCCUGGAUGGGAAGUCCCGCCAAGCUGGAACAGCUGAGCCAUCCAAACAGCAAGGAUGACAACCUUCCCUUUCUCCUAAGAACUCUGCCCCAUUCAAGCUUGGCCCAACACUGUUGCCAGGGGCUGGCUGGAAUUCCAAGCUGGUGAGUCUUAUCCUAUGAGGUGCCAUGAAAGUGGGGCCCACAGAAGGAUGCUGCUCAGCUUCCUGGAUUCAGCUCUCUUCCUAAGGUUAUGUACAAAAAUCUUAUCUCUCACUUUGCCUGAGUUGCAGCUACCUUUGCUGGUGAUCCUGGACCCAAAGUGUGCCAGCCUCUCCUGAUACUCUGUGUGUACCUGAGCAGCUAUUCUGCCAAGACUUCACACAGCUCUGUGCAUGAAACCCAAGGCCUUAGUGAAGUGGGAUCAUGAGGGGAUCUCCUAACUGGAGUGUUAAAAGAUCCUUAGGAGAAACAUUGAGUAUUAUUUCCCAGGGUGUACAUUCGCUCACCACUUCCCUGUGUUAGGGGAGGUUCACUUGGCCACUUGUUACUCAUGUUGUUGUUAUUGUUUAAGUAUUUAUUUAGAUGAUCCAUUAGAUGAUCCAUUAAAUGCCCAAAGUGGGGUUUUGAAGUCGACAAUUAUUAUUGUGUUGGGGUCUAUCUCUCUCGUUAGCUUAAUAAUCUUUUCUUUGUAAAUCUUGAUUCUCCAGCAUUGGGUGCAUGUAAAUUUAAAAUUGUUAUAUCUUUUUGCUGAAUUGAUCCCCUUAUCAUCAUUUAAUGGCCUCACUUUUGUCUCGAAAUCUAUUUUACCUGAUAUAAGUAUAGCUACUGCUCCUCUAUUUUGGUUUCCGUUGGCACAUAUUUGUGUCCUUAUAAGGUGAGGUAAAUUCUCUUGUAGACAGCAUGUAGUUGUCUUCCCUUUUCAUUUAUUCACCUACUCUACAUCUUUUGGUUAAAAAAUUUAGUUUAUUUACAUUCAUUAUUAUAGAUGAGCAGGGACUUACUACUGACGUUUAUUUGUAUUUUUUUAUUAGUCAUUUUUUUCUUCAUGUCGUUUUAUACAAGUGACUUUUUUUUCUGCUUCUAGGGUUUAAUUUCUUUAUUUUUAUAUAUUGUGUAUCAAUUAUAGGUUUUGUAUAUGUGCUUACUAGUUUGCUUACAUAUAACAUGUUAUAACCAAUUAUUUUAAAUAAAAACAACUAUAAUCAAAAUUUUAAAACAUAGAAAAGUAAAAAUCUCUACACUUUAUAUUCUCCUCUGUUUUAUGUCUUUUGGUUGUCUUGUCUUUGUAUAUUAUCUGUCUCUUAAAUGAUGUAAUUAUCAGUUUUAACAUAUUGCUUCUUUAGUCUUUCUACUAAAGAUAUGAGUGGUUUGGACAACACGAUUGUAACAUUACAGUAUUUUCUACUUGUGUAUUUACUAGUAACAUUGAGUUUUAUAACUUCAGAUGACUUGUUGCUCAUUUCUGUUUUUUACUUUUCAGAUUUCAAACAUUUAGGUUCAAGGGAUGCAGAUGCAGGUUUGUUACAUGGAUAAACUGCAAGUUGUGUAGAUUUGGUGCACAGAUUAUCUUGUUACCCAAAUAAUGAGCACAGUAUGCUGUAAGCAGUUUUCUUUGCUCAGCCUCUUCUGGCCCUCCACCCUGAAGUAGAUCCUGUGUCCAUUAUUGUCUUAUUUCCAUGUGUACUCAGUUUUAAGCUUAUACAUGUAAGUGAGAACAUGCUAUUUGGUUCUCUCUUCCUGUGUUAAUUUGCUUAGGAUAAUGCCUUCCAGCUGCAUCCAUGUUGCUGCAAAGGACAUAAUUUUAUUCUUUUUUUAUGCUGUCUGGUAUUCCAUUGUGCAUAUAUUUAUUUUUAUGUAUGUACUUUUUAAAUUCAGCUUACUGUUAAUGGACACCUGGGUUAAUUUCAUGUCUUUGCUAGUACAAAUAGUGCAGUAAUGAACAUAUGUGUAUAUGUAUUUCUAUCAUAGAAUAAUUUCCAUUUCUUUGAGUAUAUGCUGAGCAGUGGGAUUGCUGGGUCAAAGUUAGUUUUGUUCUAAGUUACUUGGGAAAUCGUCAAACAAAUUUCCACAAUGCCUAAAGUAAUUUACAUAAUCAGUAGCGGUGUAUAAAUGUUCCUUUUUCUCCACAACCUUGCCAGUAUCUGUUAUUUCUUGGUAUUUUAGUAAUAGCCAUUCUGACUUGUGUGAGAUUACCUCUCGUUGUGUUUUGAUUUGUAAUUCUCUAAUAACUAAUGAUGUUGAACAUUUUUAUAUGCUGGUUGGCUGCAUGUAUGUAUUAUUUAUAGAAGUGUCUGUAUAUGUCCUUUGCCCAUUUUUAAUGGGAUUGUUUUCUGUGAGUUAAUUUCUUUUUUUUUUCUUUUUUUUUUUUUUUUCUUUUGAGAUGGGGUGUCACUCUCGUUGCCCAAGCUGGAGUGCAAUGGCGUGAUCUUGGCUCACCACAGCCUCCACCUCCUGGGUUCCUCCUGCCUCAGCCUCCCGAGUAGCUGGGAUUACAGGCAUAUACCACCAUGCCUGGCUAUUUUUUUUUUAUACUUUUAGUAGAGACGGGAUUUCUCCGUGUUGGUCAGGCUGGUCUCGAAAUUCUGACCUCCGGUGAUCCGCUCGCCUUGGCCUCCCAGAGUGUUGGGAUUACAGGCAUGAGCCACCACGCCUGGCAAUUUAAUUUCUUUAUAGAUGCUGGAUAUUAAACCUUUGUCAGAUGCAUUGUUUGCAAAUAUGCUGUCACCUUGGGUGGGUUGUCUGUUUACUCUGUUUACAGUUUCUUUUGCUAUACAGAAGCUUUUCAGUUAAAUUAGGUCUGACUUAUCAAUUUUUGUGUUUGUUGCAAUUUUUUUUUGGAAUCUUUGUCAUAAAGUAUUUUCCAGGGCCUAUGUACAGAAUGAUACUCUCUAGGUUUUCUACUAGGGUUUUUAAAUUUUUAGGCUUAUAGUGAAAUCUUCAAUAUAUGUUUAGAUUAUUUUUGUAUAUGAUAAAAGCAAGGGGUUCAAUUCAAUUUUCUGCAUAUAAGUAGCCAGUUAUCCUAGCACUAUUUAUUGAGUAUAGAGGUUUUUCCUUAUUGCUUGUUCUUGUUGACUUUGUCAAGGAUCACAUCUGAGCUGGAGCCAUGGCAGAGGAACAUAAAUUGUGAAGAUUUCAUGGCCAUUUAUCAUUUCCGAAAUAAUACUUUUAUAAUUUAUUAUGCCUCUCUUUAAUCUCUUAAUCCUGUUACCUUUGUGAGCUGAGGCUGUACGUCACCUCAGGACCACUGUGAUAAUUGUGUUAACUGUACAAAUUGAUUGUAAAACGUGUUUGAACAAUAUGAAAUCAGUGACCCUUAAAAAGAACAGAAUAACAAUUUUUAGGGAACAAGGGAAGACAACCUUAAGAUCUGACUGCUUGUGGGGUUGGGCAAAAAGAGUCAUAUUUUUCUUCUUGCAGAGAGCCUAUAAAUGGACGUACAAGUAGGAGAGAUAUCACUAAAUCCUUUUCCUUGCAGAGAAUAUUAAUAUUAAUACCCUGGGAAAGGAAUGCAUUCCUGGGGGGAGGCCUAUAAACGACUGCUCUGGGAAUGUCUGUCCUAUGCGGUUGAGAUAAGGAUGGAGAUACCCCCUGGUAUCCUGCAGUACCCCCGGGCUUACUAGGGUGGGGGAAAAAACUCUGCCCUGGUAAAUUUGUAGUCAGACAGUUUCUCUGCUCUGGAACCCUGUUUUCCGUUGUUUAAGAUGUUUAUCAAGACAAUAUGUGCACUGCUGAACAUAGACCCUUAUCAGUAGUUCUGUUUUUGCCCUUUGCCUUGUGAUCUUUGUUGGACCCUUAUCAGUAGUUCUGCUUUUUGCACUUUGAAGCAUGUGAUCUUUGUACCUACUCUCUGUUCUUACACCCUCUCCCCUUUUGAAAGCCUUAAUAAAAAUUUGCUGGUUUUGAGGCUAAGGCAGGCAUCACGGGCCUAUGUGUGUGCAUAGAGUUUUUUGUAAUAUUCUUUGAUGGUUGUUAGUAUUUCUGUGGUGUUAGUGGUAACAUGCAUUUUGUUGUUUUUGUCUUUAUUUGGAUCUUCUCUUUUUUCUUUAUUAGUCAACUGGUAGUUUAUCUUAUUAAUUUCUCAAAAGAAAACAACUCCUGAAUUCAUCGAUUACUGAUUUUGGUUAUUUUUUGUCUUCUUUACGUUUAGUGUUGGUUUCCUCUUGUUUCUGUAGUUUCAUUAGUUGUGAUGUUAGGUUGUGAAAUAGAGAUCAUUCUAACUUUUUGAUGUGGAUUUAGUGCUAUGAAUUUCCCCCUUAACACUGCCCUGCCAUAUCUCAUAAUUGGUAUUAUGUUGUAUAUGUUCUUAAAAUAACUUUUUAAUUUCUGCCUUAAUAUAAUUACCUACCUGUCAUUCAGAAACUUGUUGUUUAAUUUUCAUGUAAUUGCAUGAUUUUGAAUGAGUUUUUUUGUAUUCUUCUAUUAAUUGAACUGUGGCCUUGGUGUAUGUUGGAUAUGAUUUUGGUUCUUUUGUAUUUGCUGAUUGUUUUAUAUCCAAAUAUGUGGUUGACUCUAGAGUAGAUGGUGAUGAGAAAAAUGUGUAUUCUGUUGCUUCAGAUUGAAGAGUUUUUGGGGAAGUCAAUCAGAUCCUUGUGGCUCCAUGUUGCGUUCAGGUCCUGAAUAACUUUGUUAAUUUUUUAUCUUGAUGAUCUCUCUAAUUUUGUCAGGGGAAUGUUGAUGUCUCCUACUGUUGUUGUGUGGGAGUCUACAUCUCUAUAGUGAUUUCUAAUAACUUGCUUUAAGAAUUUAGGUGCUCCUGGCUCAGAGCAGUGGCUGAUGCCUGUAAUCCCUACACUUUGGGAGGCCAAGGUGGGUGGAUCACCUGAGGUCAGGAG